AAUCAACGCUGGCGGCGUGCCUAACACAUGCAAGUCGAACGCGAAAGGGGCCUCGGCCCUGAGUAGAGUGGCGUCCGGGUGAGUAACGCGUGGGUAAUCUACCCUCGGGUGGGGAAGUAACCAGUCGAAGAUUGGCUAAUACCGCAUAAUAGCAGCGGCUCGACAUCGAGACAGUUGUUAAAGCAGCAAUGCGCCUGAGGAGGAGCCUGCGUCUGAUUAGCNG
rnacentral:rRNA from 1 species